AUAUUGGUCAAUGGACGAGAGUCUGAACCAGCCAAGUCGCGUGAGGGAAGACUGCCCUAUGGGUUGUAAACCUCUUUUAUAAGGGAAGAAUAAGUUCUACGUGUAGAAUGAUGCCUGUACCUUAUGAAUAAGCAUCGGCUAACUCCGUGCCAGCAGCCGCGGUAAUACGGAGGAUGCGAGCGUUAUCCGGAUUUAUUGGGUUUAAAGGGUGCGUAGGCGGUUUAUUAAGUUAGUGGUUAAAUAUUUGAGCUAAACUCAAUUGUGCCAUUAAUACUGGUAAACUGGAGUACAGACGAGGUAGGCGGAAUAAGUUAAGUAGCGGUGAAAUGCAUAGAUAUAACUUAGAACUCCGAUAGCGAAGGCAGCUUACCAGACUGUAACUGACGCUGAUGCACGAGAGCGUGGGUAGCGAACAGGAUUAGAUACCCUGGUAGUCCACGCCGUAAACGAUGCUCACUGGUUCUGUGCGAUAUAUUGUACGGGAUUAAGCGAAAGUAUUAAGUGAGCCACCUGGGGAGUACGUCGGCAACGAUGAAACUCAAAGGAAUUGACGGGGGCCCGCACAAGCGGAGGAACAUGUGGUUUAAUUCGAUGAUACGCGAGGAACCUUACCUGGGUUUAAAUGGGAAAUGUCGUAUUUGGAAACAGAUAUUCUCUUCGGAGCGUUUUUCAAGGUGCUGCAUGGUUGUCGUCAGCUCGUGCCGUGAGGUGUCGGGUUAAGUCCCAUAACGAGCGCAACCCUUACCGUUAGUUGCUAGCAUGUAAUGAUGAGCACUCUAACGGGACUGCCACCGUAAGGUGAGAGGAAGGCGGGGAUGACGUCAAAUCAGCACGGCCCUUACAC
rnacentral:rRNA from 1 species